UACAGAGGUCUCAAGCGUUGUUCGGAUUCAUUGGGCGUAAAGGGUGCGUAGGCGGCGCGGUAAGUCGGGUGUGAAAUCUCGGAGCUUAACUCCGAAACUGCAUUCGAUACUGCCGUGCUUGAGGACUGGAGAGGAGACUGGAAUUUACGGUGUAGCGGUGAAAUGCGUAGAUAUCGUAAGGAAGACCAGUGGCGAAGGCGGGUCUCAGGACAGUUCCUGACGCUGAGGCACGAAGGCCAGGGGAGCAAACGGG
rnacentral:rRNA from 1 species